rnacentral:misc_RNA from 1 species
CCAAACUUGGUCAUUUAGAGGAAGUAAAAGUCGUAACAAGGUUUCCGUAGGUGAACCUGCGGAAGGAUCAUUAUUGAAUACACUUGAUAGGUUGUAGCUGGCUCUUUAGAGCAUGUGCACACCUGUCUUGACCUCUAUUCAUCCACCUGUGCACUAUUUGUAGUCUUUGGAGACUGAGAUGGAACUGUUUAUAAGUCGGUUGACAGACCGGGAUAGGGGAAUGCUUUGUGCUAUCCUCAAUAAAAUAGUGAGCUCUCACUCCAGAGUCUAUGUUUUUAUCCAUAAACCAAGUAUGUUAUUGAAUGUAUUCAUUGGCUACAAUGCCUAUAAAAUAUUAUACAACUUUCAGCAACGGAUCUCUUGGCUCUCGCAUCGAUGAAGAACGCAGC